CUCGUAUUAAAAUAAGGCACAUUCGUAAUCUACCCUGUAGAUCCGGGCUUUUGUAGAACCCCUGUAGAUAUCAGAAGCUCGUCUCUACAGGUAUCUUACGGAUGGGAGACCUCACACGUCCGAUGA
rnacentral:precursor_RNA from 12 species